rnacentral:rRNA from 1 species
UACGAAGGGGGCUAGCGUUGCUCGGAAUUACUGGGCGUAAAGCGUGCGCAGGCGGUUCGUUGUGUCCGUCGUGAAAGCCCCGGGCUUAACCUGGGAACUGCGAUGGAAACUAGCGAGCUGGAGUGUGGCAGAGGGGGGUGGAAUUCCGCGUGUAGCAGUGAAAUGCGUAGAGAUGCGGAGGAACACCGAUGGCGAAGGCAGCCCCCUGGGCUAGCACUGACGCUCAGGCACGAAAGCGUGGGGAGCAAACAGG